AUUUUCCUCUGGUCAGAAGAGAAAUACAGGAACUAGAGCAAGCAUUGAAUCCCAGCACACAGGUUCAGAUGUAGUUUUUGUCUCUUCUCCCCCACUAGUUUGAGAAUAUUUGCACCUGGAGUCACCUAAUAGAAAAACAAAGAGGGAAGCUGUGAAAUAAAGAUAAGAGUUAGGGGUUAGAUUCAGAGCUAUCAGUGUAUUUAGAUGUGAGUAUAUAGAGUGGGGAGCUGUGUUGCUUAUGCCAUUUUCAAGAUGAAAGAAAAAAAAGAGGGAAGAGAAAAUGAAAAAAAGGAUAGUGAAGGAGAAAAACCAAGAAAAUAUAUCUUACAGUAUCGUGAAGACUGCAAGGUAUCAAUGACUAUCAUCCAUCUUUAUCUGAGCUGGUUCAAAAGGCACGUCUCUUCUCUACUGAAGGUGUCAGCAGACUAGAGGAGGUAUUGUGAAAUAUUUCCAAAGCCAAGUGGAGCAGAGAUGAAAGGUGGGCAAGUUCACAAAAAUUUUGGAUCAUAUUUCUCACUGGAGCUGAGCAGCUGAGAUCUGGCCAUUACAGUUGAA